rnacentral:misc_RNA from 1 species
UUUGGUUGUUUGCAUGGCUUUUAAGCUGUGUGGGUGGCUGUUUCGCAAUGCGGCUUUGGGGAUGUCUCGUAAAAGGUGCAUGAGUGGUGUUUGGUUUGAUACGGGUGGUUGGCUCCCUGCUUGAGUAGGCACGGCCACCUGUACAUUCCUUUUCAGUUGUGCGGCAAGGCUUGUAUUGUCUUUUGAUCGUAAAUGUGGGUUUCUUGUGUUGCAUACCUGAUCAACGGCAUCGUAUUGAUCGAAAGUGUACCUCUUUCGUCAGGCGUUGCACUGGCAAUGUCGGAUGAACCAUGUAGCAUCCUUUAUGAUCCAUAUAGUCGAUGAGCAUUUGUUGAUUGUAUGGCCCAUUGAGGGUGGCUUGGUCUCUUGGAUUUGGAAGCUAAAGUUGGCAUGGGUUCGUAUGAUCCUUUUAUUGCCUUUGUUGAGCGUUCUCGCUUCUCUUAAACGACCGCCUUUCACGUAUGGCGCGUCCCAGCGUGUUUGGCUAUGUCGAAGAGGAA